AUAAAAUGGAAGUCACUACUGAACAGUUGAUCACUCGUCCAUUUGUCGUCGAAUAAAGAUCUUGUCCUAAGAGCAAGGAUGGUGAGGAAAGUCGUAAUUUUUGCUAUGGUCCUGUUAGCGGUACUGCUAGUGGCUGAAUACAGUGAAGCCAAUAAAAACGACGGGAAAAAACCAAGCACAUGGAAAAGAUUCGAGACAUAUUGUAAGAACCAAGGAAAUUACUACAAGGGCAAAAUCAAAUGGCCGAAAUUUGGGAAAAAAGGGACAAAGGGGAAAGCAACAAUAGGAGGUACAAAAACUUACGGUCCUUAAAUAUUGCGAAAAUGUCAGUGUUAAAAUCUAUGAGGAUCUUAUAAUUUCUAAUAAGUUUGGUAGUUAAUCAAGUUUGUACAAUUAAUAAACAUCUACUAGUAGUA